GUGCUUGCUUCGGCAGCACAUGUACUAACAUUGGAAUGAUACAGAGAAGAUUAGCAUGGUCCCUGCACAAGGAUGACACACAAAUUUGUGAAGCGUUCCAUAUUUAA
rnacentral:snRNA from 1 species